rnacentral:rRNA from 1 species
GACGAACGCUGGCGGCGUGCCUAAUACAUGCAAGUAGAACGCUGAAGAGAGGAGCUUGCUCUUCUUGGAUGAGUUGCGAACGGGUGAGUAACGCGUAGGUAACCUGCCUUGUAGCGGGGGAUAACUAUUGGAAACGAUAGCUAAUACCGCAUAACAAUGGAUGACACAUGUCAUUUAUUUGAAAGGGGCAAUUGCUCCACUACAAGAUGGACCUGCGUUGUAUUAGCUAGUAGGUGAGGUAAUGGCUCACCUAGGCGACGAUACAUAGCCGACCUGGGAGGUGAACCGGCACACCUGGGCUGGGAACCCGGCCCAGCUCCCUACGGGAGCCACCAGUAGGGAAUCUUCGGCAAUGGGGCCAACCCUGACCGGGAACGGCGCGUUGGUUGAGGAGGGUUUCCGGUUCUUAAGCUCUGUUGUAAGUCAAGAACGGGUGUGAGAGUGGAAAGUUCACACUGUGACGGUAGCUUACCAGAAAGGGACGGCUAACUACGUG